rnacentral:rRNA from 1 species
AUUGAACGCUGGCGGCAGGCCCAACACAUGCAAGUCGGGCGAGCGGCGGACGGGUGAGUAAUGUAUGGGGAACUGCCUGAUGGAGGGGGAUAACUACUGGAAACGGUAGCUAAUACUGCAUACCAUCAGAUGAACCCAAAUGGGCUUAGCUUGUAGGUGGGGUAAAGGCUCACCAGGCCGACGAUCUCUAGCUGGUCUGAGAGGAUGACCAGCCACACAGGGACUGGGGCACGGCCCAGGCUCCGACGGGAGGCAGCAGUGGGGAAUAUUGCGCAAUGGGGGCAACCCAAACGCAGCCAUGCCGCGUGAAUGAAGAAGGCCUUCAGGUUGUAAAGUACUUUCAGUAGCAAGGCGUUGACUACAGAAGGAACACCGGCUAACUCCGAGCCAGCAGCCGCGGUAAUAC